rnacentral:lncRNA from 1 species
CGGCCGCUUCUGCUGGCCGAACUGCUGCCGCCGCCGGGCGGACGGGCGGACGCGCAAAGCCGGGGGCGGGCGCGGCGGGGCGGACCGGCCCCGAUGAGGCGCAAAGAGAAGCGGCUCUUGCAGGCGGUGGCGCUGGCUCUGGCGGCCCUUGUCCUGCUGCCCAACGUGGGGCUCUGGGCUCUGUACCGCGAGCGGCAGCCGGACGGCAGUCCUGGGGGAUCCGGGGCGGCGGUGGCCCCGGAGGCGAUACAGGAAUUACACAGUCGGCAAAAAAAGACACUUUUCUUGGGAGCUGAACAAAGGCUGAAGGACUGGCAUAACAAGGAGGCUAUCAGGAGGGAUGCGCAGCGCGUAGGUAUGGAGGGCGGGGCCAA